GUUGCUCAGAGAUACGCAACGGCUGAUUCUGCAUUGGAAGUUUUUCCCCGAAAUACCCGAAAGAAGGGGUAAUAUUGUGUUUAAAGUGUUAAGAAUCGAUCAAUGUUGUGUUUCAGAAAUGAACCAAACAGAAGUCCAGCUUCAUUCAGGCGGGUCAUGGCAGUGGUCAUCAAUCAGCAGACUGUGCUUGGACUUCACAAGAACAGACGGUCUUCAUCAUGGUUUGAGUCUUAUCUUCUGCAGCAGCACACUUCUAGUUAUUAUGUAGAUCUCCACCUUCUGCCUCUUGACGUUGUUGGCCCACUCCUCCAGCAGCUGCGCUUUGAUGAUGGGCUCCAGA